GGCUCCAUAGUGUAGUGGUAGCACAUCUGCUUUACAUGCAGAAGGUCCUGGGUUCACACCCCGGGUGGAGCCA
rnacentral:tRNA from 1 species